UACCAGCACCCCGAGUGGUCGGGACGUUUAUUGGGCCUAAAGCAUCCGUAGCCGGUUCUACAAGUCUUCCGUUAAAUCCACCUGCUUAACAGAUGGGCUGCGGAAGAUACUAUAGGGCUAGGAGGCGGGAGAGGCAAGCGGUACUCAGUGGGUAGGGGUAAAAUCCUCUGAUCCAUUGAAGACCACCAGUAGCGAAGGCGGCUUGCCAGAACGCGCUCGACGGUGAGGGAUGAAAGCUGGGGGAGCAAACCGG
rnacentral:rRNA from 1 species